rnacentral:rRNA from 1 species
GUGAACGCUGGCGGUAGGCCUAACACAUGCAAGUCGAACGGCAGCACAGUAAGAGCUUGCUCUUACGGGUGGCGAGUGGCGGACGGGUGAGGAAUACAUCGGAAUCUACUUUUUCGUGGGGGAUAACGUAGGGAAACUUACGCUAAUACCGCAUACGACCUACGGGUGAAAGCAGGGGAUCUUCGGACCUUGCGCGAUUGAAUGAGCCGAUGUCGGAUUAGCUAGUUGGCGGGGUAAAGGCCCACCAAGGCGACGAUCCGUAGCUGGUCUGAGAGGAUGAUAGGCCACACUGGAACUGAGACACGGUCCAGACUCCUACGGGAGGCAGCAGUGGGGAAUAUUGGACAAUGGGCGCAAGCCUGAUCCAGCCAUACCGCGUGGGUGAAGAAGGCGUUCGGGUUGUAAAGCCCUUUUGUUGGGAAAGAAAAGCAGCAGGUUAAUACCCCGCUGUUCUGACGGUACCCAAAGAAUAAGCACCGGCUAACUUCGUG